GCCCCAAGCAGGAGAAAAGGAGGAGAAACCCUAAAAUCCUUGAAGUUGCAAAAUUGAGAAGGGAAAUUGAAGCUAAUCAUAUGCAUGAAUCUGAAUGUGCAACCAUUUAAGCCUACUAAUCAAGUGGCAUAGGGAUCAUGUGGAAAUGGACUCAAGAACGGAAGGUUAACGGGUCAAGCUGAGGCGAGGAAGCAAGCAUGAACACUAACGCUCGAGGUUGUACGAGAGUACGGGAGAUUAUCACAAGGAAUAGAGAUCGAAGGCCGAGUCACAAGGUAGAUUGUACGGGGAUGAUUGAUUGUGUACUUUAGCAAACAGGAAGUUGUUUCUUUUUGUUUAGUAAAAAGUUAUUUUCAAAACGGACUUUCAAGUAAGUCAAGACAUUUGUAAUGAAAGAAAUUUUAUGGUAUGAAUUUCCGCUGCGAUUCUUUUGUCAAAUGUGAAUUAG
rnacentral:lncRNA from 1 species